rnacentral:tRNA from 1 species
UCCCUGGUCACUCAGAUAGUAAAGAAUCUGCCUUCAGUGCAGGAGACCUGGGUUCAAUCCCUAGUUGGGGAU